GAAUAAUCCAGCCAUGCGGCUUCUCUUGCCCCCCCUUUCAGCCAUGAUGGCUUUUCUUGGGCAGUCUCUGAAACACAGAAACUGGGGACUUCUUUCCUCUUCUGAAUGUGACUUAAAGUAUCCUCUGUUCAGCUUUCAUUCUGCCUGAGACACCCACAGGAGAAGUUAUUUCUGCCAUCAAGAGCAGCAGCAGCAACAGUACAGCCAUGCCAGGUAAAAAUAACCUCUAUGGAGAGUCCUGUCACAGACGAACCUGAAGGCUUUUACUGGGAGUAGAAAACCCUGGAGCCAAUCCUGUCAUUUUAUUCAGCAGAAAUGCAAAAAAGGCUGUUUUUCCCAUAAAUUUUCAAAAAGCAGGAGAAUGCACUUGUCUAAGGGGCUUCCCAAGCGGCACUAGUGGUAAAGAACCCG